rnacentral:rRNA from 1 species
GACGUAGGGCGCGAGGCGUUGUCCGGAUUUAUUGGACGUAAAGAGCUCGUAGGCGGCUUGUCGCGUCGACUGUGAAAACUCGGGGCUCAACUCCGAGCUUGCAGUCGAUACGGGCAGGCUAGAAUUCGGUAGGGGAGACUGGAAUUCCUGGUGUAGCGGUGAAAUGCGCAGAUAUCAGGAGGAACACCGGUGGCGAAGGCGGGUCUCUGGGCCGAUACUGACGCUGAGGAGCGAAAGCGUGGGGAGCGAACAGG